rnacentral:pre_miRNA from 1 species
GGUUCGGCCAGAAACGUUAUGAAUACCAAAGUUUCACAACUCAUCAAUACCUAACUUUCUUGUAUGUACCAUUUUUCCAUCCGACAAUUUGAUUAGAACUUUGUUCUCAAAUUCUAUACAUCUCUCUUAUAGUUUCAAAUGUAACCAUGAAGAGAUGAGUCAAAUUUGAGAACAAAGUUUUAAUCACAUUGUCGGAUGGAAAAAUGGUACAUACAAGAAAGUUAGGUAUUGAUGAGUUGUGAAACUUUAGUAUUUUUGGUCGUGUC